AGUGAACGCUGGCGGUAGGCCUAACACAUGCAAGUCGAACGGCAGCACAGGAGAGCUUACUCUCUGGGUGGCGAGUGGCGGACGGGUGAGGAAUACAUCGGAAUCUACUCUGUCGUGGGGGAUAACGUAGGGAAACUUACGCUAAUACCGCAUACGACCUACGGGUGAAAGCAGGGGACCUUCGGACCUUGCGCGAUUGAAUGAGCCGAUGUCGGAUUAGCUAGUUGGCGGGGUAAAGGCCCACCAAGGCGACGAUCCGUAGCUGGUCUGAGAGGAUGAUCAGCCACACUGGAACUGAGACACGGUCCAGACUCCUACGGGAGGCAGCAGUGGGGAAUAUUGGACAAUGGGCGCAAGCCUGAUCCAGCCAUACCGCGUGGGUGAAGAAGGCCUUCGGGUUGUAAAGCCCUUUUGUUGGGAAAGAAAUCCAGCUGGCUAAUACCCGGUUGGGAUGACGGUACCCAAAGAAUAAGCACCGGCUAACUUCGUGCCAGCAGCCGCGGUAA
rnacentral:rRNA from 1 species